GAGUGCAGUAGGGAGACUGGAAUUCCUGGUGUACGGUGGAAUGCGCAGAUAUCAGGAGGAACACCGAUGCGAAGGCAGGUCUCUGGGCUGUAACUGACGCUGAGGAUGUAAAGCAUGGGGAGCGAACAGGAUUAGAUACCCUGGUAGUCCAUGCCGUAAACGUUGGGCACUAGGUGUGGGGACCAUUCCACGGUUUCCGCGCCGCAGUAA
rnacentral:rRNA from 1 species